AGCGUACACGGUGGAUGCCCUGGCAGUCAGAGGCGAUGAAGGACGUGCUAAUCUGCGAUAAGCGUCGGUGAGGUGAUAUGAACCGUUAUAACCGGCGAUUUCCGAAUGGGGAAACCCAGUGUGUUUCGACACACUAUCAUUAACUGAAUCCAUAGGUUAAUGAGGCGAACCGGGGGAACUGAAACAUCUAAGUACCCCGAGGAAAAGAAAUCAACCGAGAUUCCCCCAGUAGCGGCGAGCGAACGGGGAGGAGCCCAGAGCCUGAAUCAGUGUGUGUGUUAGUGGAAGCGUCUGGAAAGGCGUGCGAUACAGGGUGACAGCCCCGUACACAAAAAUGCACAUAUUGUGAGCUCGAUGAGUAGGGCGGGACACGUGGUAUCCUGUCUGAAUAUGGGGGGACCAUCCUCCAAGGCUAAAUACUCCUGACUGACCGAUAGUGAACCAGUACCGUGAGGGAAAGGCGAAAAGAACCCCGGCGAGGGGAGUGAAAAAGAACCUGAAACCGUGUACGUACAAGCAGUGGGAGCCUCUUAAUGGGGUGACUGCGUACCUUUUGUAUAAUGGGUCAGCGACUUAUAUUCUGUAGCAAGGUUAACCGAAUAGGGGAGCCGAAGGGAAACCGAGUCUUAACUGGGCGUUAAGUUGCAGGGUAUAGACCCGAAACCCGGUGAUCUAGCCAUGGGCAGGUUGAAGGUUGGGUAACACUAACUGGAGGACCGAACCGACUAAUGUUGAAAAAUUAGCGGAUGACUUGUGGCUGGGGGUGAAAGGCCAAUCAAACCGGGAGAUAGCUGGUUCUCCCCGAAAGCUAUUUAGGUAGCGCCUCGUGAAUUCAUCUCCGGGGGUAGAGCACUGUUUCGGCAAGGGGGUCAUCCCGACUUACCAACCCGAUGCAAACUGCGAAUACCGGAGAAUGUUAUCACGGGAGACACACGGCGGGUGCUAACGUCCGUCGUGAAGAGGGAAACAACCCAGACCGCCAGCUAAGGUCCCAAAGUCAUGGUUAAGUGGGAAACGAUGUGGGAAGGCCCAGACAGCCAGGAUGUUGGCUUAGAAGCAGCCAUCAUUUAAAGAAAGCGUAAUAGCUCACUGGUCGAGUCGGCCUGCGCGGAAGAUGUAACGGGGCUAAACCAUGCACCGAAGCUGCGGCAGCGACACUAUGUGUUGUUGGGUAGGGGAGCGUUCUGUAAGCCUGUGAAGGUGGCCUGUGAGGGUUGCUGGAGGUAUCAGAAGUGCGAAUGCUGACAUAAGUAACGAUAAAGCGGGUGAAAAGCCCGCUCGCCGGAAGACCAAGGGUUCCUGUCCAACGUUAAUCGGGGCAGGGUGAGUCGACCCCUAAGGCGAGGCCGAAAGGCGUAGUCGAUGGGAAACAGGUUAAUAUUCCUGUACUUGGUGUUACUGCGAAGGGGGGACGGAGAAGGCUAUGUUGGCCGGGCGACGGUUGUCCCGGUUUAAGCGUGUAGGCUGGUUUUCCAGGCAAAUCCGGAAAACCAAGGCUGAGGCGUGAUGACGAGGCACUACGGUGCUGAAGCGACAAAUGCCCUGCUUCCAGGAAAAGCCUCUAAGCAUCAGGUAACAUCAAAUCGUACCCCAAACCGACACAGGUGGUCAGGUAGAGAAUACCAAGGCGCUUGAGAGAACUCGGGUGAAGGAACUAGGCAAAAUGGUGCCGUAACUUCGGGAGAAGGCACGCUGAUAUGUAGGUGAAGCGACUUGCUCGUGGAGCUGAAAUCAGUCGAAGAUACCAGCUGGCUGCAACUGUUUAUUAAAAACACAGCACUGUGCAAACACGAAAGUGGACGUAUACGGUGUGACGCCUGCCCGGUGCCGGAAGGUUAAUUGAUGGGGUUAGCGGUAACGCGAAGCUCUUGAUCGAAGCCCCGGUAAACGGCGGCCGUAACUAUAACGGUCCUAAGGUAGCGAAAUUCCUUGUCGGGUAAGUUCCGACCUGCACGAAUGGCGUAAUGAUGGCCAGGCUGUCUCCACCCGAGACUCAGUGAAAUUGAACUCGCUGUGAAGAUGCAGUGUACCCGCGGCAAGACGGAAAGACCCCGUGAACCUUUACUAUAGCUUGACACUGAACAUUGAGCCUUGAUGUGUAGGAUAGGUGGGAGGCUUUGAAGUGUGGACGCCAGUCUGCAUGGAGCCGACUUUGAAAUACCACCCUUUAAUGUUUGAUGUUCUAACGUUGGCCCGUAAUCCGGGUUGCGGACAGUGUCUGGUGGGUAGUUUGACUGGGGCGGUCUCCUCCUAAAGAGUAACGGAGGAGCACGAAGGUUGGCUAAUCCUGGUCGGACAUCAGGAGGUUAGUGCAAUGGCAUAAGCCAGCUUGACUGCGAGCGUGACGGCGCGAGCAGGUGCGAAAGCAGGUCAUAGUGAUCCGGUGGUUCUGAAUGGAAGGGCCAUCGCUCAACGGAUAAAAGGUACUCCGGGGAUAACAGGCUGAUACCGCCCAAGAGUUCAUAUCGACGGCGGUGUUUGGCACCUCGAUGUCGGCUCAUCACAUCCUGGGGCUGAAGUAGGUCCCAAGGGUAUGGCUGUUCGCCAUUUAAAGUGGUACGCGAGCUGGGUUUAGAACGUCGUGAGACAGUUCGGUCCCUAUCUGCCGUGGGCGCUGGAGAACUGAGGGGGGCUGCUCCUAGUACGAGAGGACCGGAGUGGACGCAUCACUGGUGUUCGGGUUGUCAUGCCAAUGGCACUGCCCGGUAGCUAAAUGCGGAAGAGAUAAGUGCUGAAAGCAUCUAAGCACGAAACUUGCCCCGAGAUGAGUUCUCCCUGACUCCUUGA
rnacentral:rRNA from 1 species